UACGAAGGGGCUAGCGUUGCUCGGAAUCACUGGGCGUAAAGCGCACGUAGGCGGCUUUUAAGUCAGAGGUGAAAUCCUGGAGCUCAACUCCAGAACUGCCUUUGAUACUGAGGAUCUUGAGUUCGGGAGAGGUGAGUGGAACUGCGAGUGUAGAGGUGAAAUUCGUAGAUAUUCGCAAGAACACCAGUGGCGAAGGCGGCUCACUGGCCCGAUACUGACGCUGAGGCACGAAAGCGUGGG
rnacentral:rRNA from 1 species